UGUCGAGGCAGGGAGGGCCUCCUAUUGGUUCAGAGGUUAGACAGUGUCGAGGCAGGGAGGACCUCCUAUUGGUUCAGAGGUUAGACAGUGUCGAGGCAGGGAGGGCCUCCUAUUGGUUCAGAGGUUAGACAGUGUCGAGGCAGGGAGGGCCUCCUAUUGGUUCAGAGGUUAGACAGUGUCGAGGCAGGGAGGGCCUCCUAUUGGUUCAGAGGUUAGACAGUGUCGAGGCAGGGAGGGCCUCCUAUUGGUUCAGAGGUUAGACAGUGUCGAGGCAGGGAGGGCCUCCUAUUGGCUCAGAAGUCAAACAGUGUCGAGGCAGUGAGGGCCUCCUAUUGGCUCAGAAGUCAAACAGUGUCGAGGCAGGGAGGGCCUCCUAUUGGUUCAGAGGUUAAACAGUGUCGAGGCAGGGAGGGCCUCCUAUUGGUUCAGAGGUUAGACAGUGUCGAGGCAGGGAGGGCCUCCUAUUGGUUCAGAGGUUAAACAGUGUCGAGGCAGGGAGGGCCUCCUAUUGGUUCAGAGGUUAGACAGUGUCGAGGCAGGGAGGGCCUCCUAUUGGUUCAGAGGUUAAACAGUGUCGAGGCAGGGAGGGCCUCCUAUUGGUUCAGAGGUUAGACAGUGUCGAGGCAGGGAGGGCCUCCUAUUGGUUCAG